CAGGCCUAACACAUGCAAGUCGAGGGGUAGAGAUUAGCUUGCUAAUCUUGAGACCGGCGCACGGGUGCGUAACGCGUAUGCAACCUACCUUUUACAAAGGGAUAGCCCGGAGAAAUUCGGAUUAAUACCUUAUAGUAUUGUUGAUAAUCAUUUAUUAACAAUUAAAGUUUCGGCGGUAAAAGAUGGGCAUGCGUCCUAUUAGCUAGAUGGAGUGGUAACGGCACCCCAUGGCAACGAUAGGUAGGGGUCCUGAGAGGGAGAUCCCCCACACUGGUACUGAGACACGGACCAGACUCCUACGGGAGGCAGCAGUGAGGAAUAUUGGACAAUGGACGCAAGUCUGAUCCAGCCAUGCCGCGUGCAGGAAGACGGCCCUAUGGGUUGUAAACUGCUUUUAUACAAGAAGAAUAAGACUUACGUGUAAGUUGAUGACGGUAUUGUAUGAAUAAGCACCGGCUAACUCCGUGCCAGCAGCCGCGGUAAUACGGAGGGUGCAAGCGUUAUCCGGAAUCAUUGGGUUUAAAGGGUCCGUAGGCGGGCUAAUAAGUCAGGGGUGAAAGUUUGCAGCUCAACUGUAAAAUUGCCUUUGAUACUGUUAGUCUUGAAUUAGUAGGAAGUGGUUAGAAUAAGUAGUGUAGCGGUGAAAUGCAUAGAUAUUACUUAGAAUACCGAUUGCGAAGGCAGAUCACUACUACUAUAUUGACGCUGAUGGACGAAAGCGU
rnacentral:rRNA from 1 species